GACCCCAGCUAAGAACGACUGCUGUGACGUUAUUUCUGGGGGAUUGCGCAACAUCCCCACACGAUACAUCAAGGUUUCUGGAUCGAUUGUCCAUUAAGGCAAAAGAUCAUUUAAGUCUACCACAACAGAUGGCGAGCCUAAUGCAGGUGGUUCAAUUUUUCCCUUAAUUUUAGCAGAAUUAAAAGGGUCCAUAUUUUAUUUCCGGCAGCAAAAAGGCCGGCAUUUAGGUAAGACAUUUUUGUUUUGAUACUCUCAUAUUUGAGAAAGUUUUGGCUGUCUGCAAAUUGAUUUGUGGUCUCUAGGCUGCUGGAAUCAGGUAAAAAUCUACCAAAAGAACCUUUUGGGUGUAUGUGUGGUGUUUUUCAGUAUUAACUGCCCAGGUACUGGUUGGGGCAUAUCUGCAUAACUGCUGUGGGGUUUUAUUCAUUGAUUUAUUUUUUUAACCAUAAGGGACUGUUAUUGCCCCUGCUGGAGGAUCUGUGAGUGAUUCAGACCAGUGGAGGGAGUUUCUGUGUAUGCCGGGUGGUUGUAGGAUAAUCUUGUAGCAGGCAGAUAUGGCCAACAGUAUCUAGAGGGGAUUUAGAAUCAUUGUUUUUUUCAUUUGUGUUUGUUUUCUGUCUGUCUACUAAGUGGUGUUUGUUUUAAAAUUGCGACUCUAUAGGUUUCAUCCUUGAGAAAAUCUUUUGUUUGGGAGGAUUGUAUUGCUUUUAUUAUUACAAGUUUCAAUAUUGGAGGUUGGGUAACAAUCCGACCAAUCUAAAUUACAAACCAAGUUUCUGGCCCUUGCUGAGCGCUGAACAGGGGGAGCCUAUGCCAUUUUGAAAUAGCACAUGUGCCAGUGGCCAUUUUGUCUUUAAGCACAUGUGCCAGCGGCCAUGUUGUCUUAGUUUUUGAAAAGGUAUAUUGGGCUAUUGGUGGGAGGCACAUCCCCUGCAUAUAACCCUAACAGUUGUUCUAUUGUAUAUAAUAGAUUUUCAUCUUUACAUUUCAUAACAGCAAAGUUCUCUUUGAACUUUUUGGAACAUUUUUUACAUUUUUGUUAUACCUCUCUGCUGUUCCCUGCAGUCUAUUGACUCCUACUUCCUCCAGGAUAGGGGUUUUUCCUAAGGAAGAGACCAUCACAUGGUGUUGUAAUUGUCCUUUUGUGUGAGUGAAGGAAGAGUGUUGCAUGAUUUACAACAUAAGGCUAUUUGUUAACUAGCUGUUUCUCUUUUUAUACUCCUUGGUUUCCUGCUCUUUCUCUCUUUAUUUUCCUCUCUUUAUCUCCAUUUCUCUCUUUUAAAACACUUUUGCUUACCCUCUCUCUCUCUCUCUGUCUAUGACUACCACACUAACUCUUUACCUUGCUUUUGGCUAGCCAUCUUUUCUGUUUUAAUCUAUUCUCAACCCAACCCAUUCUCUGUAGGUUUGGUUGGAAGACAUCUUUUCCGUCAUUGGAAGUCUGGUAGUAUAAGAUAGCUGCUGUCUGCUUAUGAAAGUUGCUGUUAGGAAGGAAAUUCCUGUUAAUUACGUCCAUAAGGACUGUGCUGCGAAGUCGGACUGUAUAGGGCGAAAACACAGUGAACUGGUUAGCUUUUUGUGAGGAGAAAAAGUGGGCCAAGCCUACUCGGGUUCAUCAAUUGUCGCGUGAGCUUUGUUCUCUUUUCUCUUCCCCUCGAGGUCCAUCGUAAGGGUGGAAGGUGUCCGUGGUUCGUACCAAAGCCCGGGGUGGAGUUUGUGGGGAAAUUAUUGAGGACUGUUCCCUUUCUUGUUCGCUUUCUUGACUUUUCGUCACUGAGUGACCAGGUGUCCGCGGUUCGUACCGGAAGCUUGGGGGACGGAACUUGGGGAGGUGAACUGGGGUGGGGUUUCUCUGUUUCUAUCUGUUUUUCUAGCCACUUUCUCUCAAAACCUAUUGGCCUGACUGGGGUGACCAGGUGUCCGUGGUUCGUACCGGAAUCCCUAAGAAGGUUCAACUAUAUCUCCCUUGUUCUCACUUCCUGUCGCUCCCUCUCACUUGCUGUCAACACUCCAGGCAUUGGGGACUCUUAUCCUGCAGUCAGGGCACUGUUUUGAGCCAAUUUAGCACGAGGGAUAGGGAAGGUGUCCGUGGUUCGUACCUGUCCGGAUCCCUCGGCCGCUGAUCCUUCUCUCUGAGUGGGCUAAGGUGGAUAAUGUCCGUGGUUCGUAUUUGAAGCCAUAGAGCUACUCAGAGGACGAACAGGUAAGGAUCGACGGCGGUCUGCGCGGUGGACGUAGACACUGUAGGUGGACGCAUCUACUUGGAAAAAGCUUGAGACUCGAGUAUUGGUGUAGGGAAAUCUAGGGAACAGAAGGGUACCACUUCUGAGUUCAGGACGGCUCAGCAGCACAUGAAAUCCACAUAUGGAGGAGGGACUGUUAAGCCCCUCAAAGAUUGGCACAAAUGGUCUUCAGGUUUAGAAUGGUCCAUCCCUAAGGAGGGGACAUUUGAGGUCUGGAUCUGGGAAAAGUUCGUCCGUGAGUUCCACUCCAGACUCCAAACACAUGGGUCUUUAGAGAAGGCCAAUUUGUGGUUACAGGAAUCUACCAAGCCUUAGCAGCAGGGCAUUCAAAAGUCUCAGACAGUAAGGUCAAACAUAAUCAUGUACUUCCGUCCAGCCAGAACUGCAGAAAGCAAUAAUGAGAAGGACGAGACAGAGCUGCAAACAGGUUUAAAUUUGCUGGCAACACAGGUCAUCUCAACAGCCUCAGCUCAUCUGUCUCCAUCACCAUCCCCACAUCCGGAAUCUGCAAAAGAUGCCUCUGACAAAACGGAUUACUGCCGCCUUGGAAAAUCCGAUUUGGUCACCUUAUGUGAAGCCAAAGGUAUCUCUAUAAUAGACAAAUCCAAAUUAGAAUGCAUAGAGGCCUUGGAAAGGGAUGACUUCCAACAGGGCCCUGAGGGGGAUAACAGGCGCUAUGGGGGGGCAAGGAAUUCUGUAAGCAACUGACAUACAAAAUGCCCACUAUGUAUAGUGUUGUGCCCCCGUUCCAGUUAUGACAGCGAUCCAGGGCCCAGAUGAGGAUGCCUCGGUCUAUUGGCAGAGGUUAAAACAAGGGGUAACAGAUGCAGGGUUUGAGCCAGGUCCAGAUGCCCCAGAGAACACCCAGUCAGUAUCGCCCAUCCAUCUAAUGUUAAAGGCUAAAUUUCUGGCUGGAUUGGUGCCUAAGCUAAGAGAUAGGCUAAUGGUUGCACGACCAGAGGCCCAUUCUAUGAGUUUCCACUCCCUUAUGGCAACAAUCCAGGCCAUAGAACUGGACCUGCAUGCCAGGAAAGAGGCCAAGUCGGCCAAAAUCAUGGCAGCUCUUGAGCUAAUAGCCCAGGACCACCUUCCCUAUACUAGGAAAAAGAAACUCACCAAACGUACUAAUAUAACUUGUUUUAAUUGCUAAAUUGGACAUUUAGCGCGCCACUGUCCAGAAAAUGAGGACAAGAAAGAACAAAAUUCUCCUAGUCCUUAUAAAGUUGUUCCUGACCGGCCUCAUGCACAUAACCCAAACCCGGGGAAAUCUUACCGUAGUACGGAGGGCCCCCCGGGAACCUACCAUUUCAUACCAGACCCUGAAACAGUUAAAACCUUCGGAGCUGCUACACAGUCCCAUAGCUUCGCCCACUAGGGGAAAGGCAAACCGGUGUCGGCCCAUUUCAAUCUAUUUCUUGAGGAAUUGCUAUAUCCUCUGUCCUGCCUCAUCGACACCGGCGCAGCCAGGACUGUUCUAAAAACACAAGAUCUAAAAGGCAGGAUUCCACUCUCUGGCAACACAACCCCCACCAUUGGGCUUACAGGUCAUCCAGUGACUCUUAGGGAGACGAAACCAUUGUACUGCAGGUUAGGUCAACACACCGAAGCAGUCAGAUCUCUAUUAGUUUCAGAUGAUGUCCCUAUCAACCUAUUGGGAGCAGACAUUCUGUCGGAGAUUCAGGCCAACAUCACUUAUACCCCAGAGGGUGUUGUGGUAACUAGUGCACUCACAGACGAGUUGCUGUGUGCAGUGGUGGCAGUCCCGUAUACUGGAGAACCUGGUACACAUUUGUCCCUGGAUGUUCUAGCUGAGAUAGACCCUAAGGUUUGGGCGGUUGACAAAUAUGAUGUCGGCUUGCUGCCAGCACCUCCAACCACUAUAGCGCAGAUGGACAGUCUCAAGAUCCAGAUUGAGAGAUAUCUCCAAAUCGAGGUCUUAACCCCAACACAAUCACCCUGUAAUACACCUUUAUUUCCAGUGGCAAAAAAAUCAGCCAAGGAUCAGGAAGUCACUUACCGACUGGUCCAUGAUAACAAAAUCAUAGUCAGUGAAGCCUCGUUAGUGCCUAAUCCUCACACAUUACUUGCGUCCAUUCCUCCUAAAGCUUCGUACUUUAGUAUUAUCAACUUGUCUAAUGCCUUCUUUUCUGUUCCACUAGAUCCACAGUGUCAAUACAUCUUUGCUUUUUCGUUCCAGGGUAGACAUGGACCCGGUUCCAUGACUAACCCAUCGGAAUAUAGUUGCAAGCUAAAGGUGGUAUUAGACCAGUGGGUGCCAGAGGAUCCGGAGGUCGCACUGUUACAAUAUGUGGACGAUCUAUUAGUUUGUUGCCCGGACAAGGAUUCAUGCUAUAGACACACUAUCUCGCUACUGAACCAUCUGGCAUCCACUGGGAAUAAGGCUAGCAAGGAAAAAUUGCAGUUUUGUAAGGAGAAGGUUAUUUUUCUAGGCCUCUGUAUCUCAAAAGGGACCCAACACCUGACAACACAACAGAUACAGACUCUCAAAGACUUCACCCGACCUCGUAAUGCCCGACAGUUGAGAGCCCUUCUAGGUCUGAUCAAUUACAGCAGAGAUUGGAUACAUAAUAUUUCAUUCAGAAUGGGUCCUCUCUAUACUUUGUGUUAUUACAGAAAGUUGGUGACAUAGUUUUAGAUUCCCCUCUAACCUUUCUCAUCCCACACUCUGUCCAAGAGAUUCUCAACCAGGUCCAGACCAAACAUCUUUCAGCAGCACGUCUGACCAAAUCUGAAGUGACUCUCCUUACCCCUACUAACCUCACACUGAGACGAUGUACAAUCCUCAAUCCCGCAUCUCUUCUCCCGACCCAUUCUGACUCGGAAGAAGAGGGGGGGACAAAGGGAUUGUGACUGACUCUAACCCAACCAUGACAGAACCAACAGACAAUCACAACUGUCUUGAACUCAUGGAACCCGAGACAGAAGCAGUACAACAUCCACCUCCCUUAAGGUCGCAGAACGUGAUGGGUGGAUCCACGCCAGCCACUGCAAGAAGCUGCUGGACUAUCAAGUGCAAUGAUCAGGUGCAUUGUUUCUAUAUACACUUGUUGUUUAAUGUAUUUUGGAUACUGUUAUGAGGAGUCCCAUCCGAAUUUACUGUUCAAGAUGCAUUUACAAUUAGCAAAGACAGCAAAUAGGUCCAACUGCUGCGUGUGCUCCAAGCCCCCUCCAAGCCAGAGCAUCCCGGCGAUGGCGGCAGUACAUGCCCUUUAUGACAUCAGGGUGGGCAUGAGAAAAUUUAGUCCUUCAGGUAGAUCAGCGGAACGCCAUCUGUCCAUAGAAUUUAAUCAGACAUUCUUAGAUGGUAAUGUCACCUAUGGUCUUGAUGUCAGCCCCGAGGCUUGUACUAGACUUAGCAGACCCAUGUGGGUAUCCGGUCAAUUAGGCCAGCCCGGGAUUUGUUUUAAUAUCAGCUCUGGUUUUGGAGCCAAGUCCCUGGGGAGGACCGAAUGCCCAUCUGGGAUAACCAUCCAGAUCGACCAUAGAAUCCCUGACGGUAACAACCUAACCACCAGACAUGAUUAUGUCUGCUGGGGGGGAGGGUGUGACAUUCAGGAGGGUGCAGCAAUCGCAUUAUCCAUCCAGUUGUUGCGCAAUGCCCGUAACUGUAACCCCAAUGACCUUUGUGUCUCAUUAACUGGGCCCUAUUAAUUUUUGUGCGGCCAGGCUGCCUAUAGAGUCGUUCCCCCGAAUACUAGAGGGUCAUGCUCCUUAGUCAGGUUAGUCCCUGCCUCCUACAUUGACGACGGUCACAAGGACUUGAGGAUGCAGAGAAGGGUAAGUGUGGAAAGAAGGACCAGGAGAGAGCUAUUCUCCGCAGGGGACCGUGCAUGGGCAUGGUUUCUGGCAUGGACCGGAUGGGGUAUAGAACUUAUGAAGCGGCUAAAUAAUUUUUCCAUCAUAAUGGACGAGAUGUUUAACGAGACAGUCGAAGCCAUGAGAGAAAUUUCUUCUGAACAACGACAGCUGAAGACCCUUAUGCUUCAGGAGAAAAUGGCUCUCGACUAUCUUUUAGCAUCAAAGGGGGGAUUCUGUGAGUUCAUCGGGGAGGAUUGCUGUACCUGGGUGGAAGAUACUGGGGACAAGGUUCAGGCCCAUCUUGACAAGGUGAAAGCAUUACAGGGACAAGCAUGCGCUAUUGCAGAGGAGGGUUGGAACCCCUUUAAAGGUUUAGGGGGCUUCGGUGAUAUGUUGUUUUCUAUUAGAUCAUGGCUUAAAGAAGUUGGAGUGUAUGUCCUGAUGCUGCUCUUUCUUUUCCUCCUCUAUGUGAUGUCGAGAAUGACCUGUUGUUUGGUGAACCAAGUUGCAAGGAGCCGUGCAGAGGACCAUGUGAUGAUUCCAUAAAGAGCCAUUGCCUGAAGCAUCCGGAACCCUUUACCUCAGGAAGAUCAGCACAGGAAGAACCACCACCUUUUUUUUACAAACUAUGGACUGUCCCUAAAAGAACUGACUUCUUCCCUUCUUGGAGACUUUUUUUUGGGCUGUUCUUCUCAAAGAAGACAUAAGGAAAGUAAUCCUGUACCCAGGGGAAAAAGUGCAGCCCCUAAAUUAUGCAAGAGCUGUAAAAUCUAAUACAGGGGUGUGCACCCAGGGGCCCCAGCGGUAGGUCAAGCUGGCCGUAUGGGUCAAGGUGGUCCCCCAAGGCGGAGUAGGGUCUACCCAGCGGAUCCUGGCAGGCGCAGGAAUGCAGUCCAUCUCAGGUGGGUGGGGGAAGGUUCACCACCGGACACAAGAAUAGUUAUGGACAGAAUAUUAGAUAUGGGGUUUACAGCAGAGGAUUUGAAUUGUUUUGUUCACAAUGCGGUGUUCAGGGACUACUCUAAGUUUUCUCAGGCCGCAGGAAUUGGACAAAUUAUGGUCAUCCUUUAAGCAGUUGGAGUUGGUCGGUGGUUUUGCUGGGUUUGAGGCAGUUGCGGUGUCCAGGCCCUCUGUUGUGAAGGUGAAUAUCAUCCUCAAAAAUGAGUCGAUUCCUCCCUCAGACUAGAAAGUAUGGCUUGGCAGGUACGGGAAAGUGGUGGAGGAAAAAGAUUUCGGGUAUCGGGGCAUUUGGAUGGGAGGUUGGUGGGCAAAGAUGCUUCUCAAGGUGAUAGGGCACGUUACGCAGCACAUCCCCAAUUCCGCAUACAUCGGCAGAGACCUAGUCUGCUGCUCAUACCCGGGCCAGCCUAGGGAGUGCUGGAAAUGUGGGUCAACGAGACAUUUGAGCAUAAGUUGCGAUGUGCUCAAGUGUGCCAUGUGCCUUGAUGUAGGCCACGUGGCUAAAAUGUGUCCCAAGAGCAUACGCUGUAAUCUGUGCGGUGAGCUUGGCCAUGCUUAUGGCUCUUGCCCCUCAUCAUGGCAUAAGAUUGAUGAGGAGUUUUGCACUCAAGGGGAUGAUGCCCAGAUAGAGGAUAUUGAUAGAUCAGUUGAGGUGGUGGAAGAAACGCAAUUGUCCCUUGAGUCAGGGUCUGAGGGAGGAGAGGAAGACUCUGAGCCACUUUUUGUCACCCCUGUGCCCCUUCUCUCUCCCCCAAUUUCUUCUUUUCCAGGUCGGGACCCUGUUAGGGUGCCUCAAAGGGGAAGUGGAGGAGGAAGCCAAAUAAGAAGGCCUGUGCCCCAAUGGAAAGGAGGGCCUCAGGGUCUCUCAAGAUCUGGACCCUCUAGGUCUGAGGUAAAUAAGGAAAAGAAAAAGGUUGCAGGUAAACCUGGUUCCUUCACAGCGGCAAACUCCCAGUCUAAGGAAAGAAUUAGGAGUGGAGAGAGAAAUGCAAAAAUUCCUUUAGGAGACUGGGUCAGAGUAAAAAAAAAAAGGGGAGCCUAGACCCCUUAAAAGGUGAUGAGGCCUGCAGGAGGAGGGAGGCAGCCUCAUCAAUUGACACUUCUAACAGGUAUGGGCUCUUGUCGUGGGGAGAGAGGGUGGAGAUAGAGGAAGAGGGUCAAGGCGAGAUUCAGGAGGAACUGAGACAUAUAGGCAUGGACGAUGUCGACUCCUGUGCGCCAGUCUCCUGAUUCUGAAGAUAUAGAUCCGAUGGUGGCAGAGGGUAUGCCCUCGGGCAUGUCUGCAAAACGGGAAUGCUCAGAGGAUGACAGUAGGACAAAGAAGGGCGGAAGCUGCUGCAUCUUUGACCCUCUAAAUGGCAGUAACCCCUCCAAUUAGCCUCGUGACCAUUAAUGUUGCGAGUGUGAAGUCUAUAAGUGCUAGAGACACGCCCAUAUUUUUUCUCUCCCGAGUUGAGGCAGAUGUUUUAUUUUUGCAAGAGACCAGAUUGUAUCAUCUGCCUGAACUUCAUCAGGCAAAAAAGCAGUGGGUCUGUGGGCCCUCUUUCUGGUCUCUUGCGGCCGAGCCUUAUAGUGGAGUGGCGGUCCUUUUUAAGACCAACAAUGUUACUGUGAAACGGAUGGUUGAGGUAGAGCAGGGGAGAUGUAUGGUUUUAGACAUCCUGUUGAAUGAGCAAAAUCUUCGCCUCAUAAAUGUGUAUGGUCCACAGACCAAAGUGUAAGCCUCACCAGGAAGAUUAUAUGUAUAUAAUAUUUUAUGUGUGAAUAUAAUGUCAAAUGUUAAUGUUAAAGAGACAGGUAAAAGGACAUGCUGGGACAGGGAGUUGCCAAAACAGUGAUCUGAUAACACUGCAGUCUCUAGGAUCAAAACAAUAGUCACAGACAAAGACAGACCCAGGAAAGAGCCUGAGGUGUCAUGGUAUUCAAGAUAAACAGUUGGGCCUGAGGAUGUGAUAUGUGACUUAACAGUUUCGUCAUAAUGUGUAAAUGAAGGCUAACUACACGUUCUCGUAAUAGUAUGCAAAGAGCCUGUUGUAAAAACAUGUUGUGAGAUCAAGCGAUUACAGGAUCUCAAAGGCCUUCCUUUACAUAUGGUGCGGGAAAGUUAUGUCAUCUGAGCUUCUGUUUAGCCAGUUGUCAUGUGGGGGGUGAGGCUCUAAAAACAGUAUAAAAGAUGUGUCCAAAGUACAGUCUGGAGGUCUUUUUUUUGGAACAGACCUCUGUGUACAGGCGUCCACCUCUGAACAGAAACUCUGCAGGCCCAGAGACUGACGUGCUGUCCAAGGACUGGUAACUAUCUCAGUGUCUCUUUGUCAUUGACAGUUAUUACUUGUGUGUGUGUGUGGUUAUAGGUGUAAGAGGGUUUAGAGCAUAUUGUUUGAAAUAGUUGUAACCUUUUUCUCCUUGUUUACAUACUGUAGCUAUUGAUUUAUUUUUUUUUGUUUAAGUUAGAGUUGUUGAUUUGUCUCAUCGGUUGUUUUUAUAUGCAUUGCAAAUAUUCUGAAUUAUAGAUUGUUGGUUUUUUCUUGUACCUUUCCUUAUGUGCAUAUUAUGGCUUAUUAUUUUCUGUAAUUGUGCAAGUGUGUUUUGAUUUUAUACAUAAAUCUUCUUUUCAGUAAUACAGUUGGUUGAAUGUCAUUUCUUUGCCAAACCUCCCCGUUAGAACCUACAGUUAUUGUAUUAUUAUGGACUAAUAUUAAUGUUUCAUAUUAAUAUUGAUAUUGUCCAUAAGAAUAUCUUACAAAAGGGGCGAGGAAGGAGCUCUUUAACAGGAUCAAGCCAUUUCUUUUUACAGCCCAGCAGGUCAUUUUUGGCGGUGAUUUUAACACUGUCUAGGCCCAUGGAUAGGGGAGGAGCAGCCGGCCUGUUGGGUUAUGAUAGUAUCUCCCUGAAUAGUAUAGUUAGGGAAGCAGGGUUGGAGGAUGUGCACAUUCGACACAGCCCCAACCAUACUGGUUUCACCUUUUUUAGGGGUACAUGUAGAAGCAGAAUAGAUAGUUUUUUGUUAAAGAGGGCUCUGUGGUGUAGCCUCCUGAGGUGAUUCAGGCGGCUCAGAGGGGUAAAGAGCUUUGGCGCCUAAAUUUGGCCCUCUUGGUGAAGGAAUCUGUCAAGCAAUCCUUUUUGGACUUCUUUCAAGCCCAGAAGUCUUUAGUGGGGUUUUGCAACACUAAAGCGGAGUGGUGGGAGAUGGUCAAGAAGAGGGCAGUAAAACUCUCUUGAGGCCUAGUAAAUAAGAUCCAGAUUGAUAAAGAACGUGUCUACCUAUCUCUGAGGAGAAAAUUGGGCAGAUUUGGGUCUGAUGGAGAAGCAGUUGGGGAGGUUGCUAAAGUUUGGGCCUUGAUGAGAGAAUAUCAUUAUGACAGAUUGUCUUCCUUGGUUCAGGAAAGGGAUUAUGGGAAAUACCACUUGCCUGACCCUUUUCAGAAUUGCCAGGAAGCUUCUGCGCGCAAGUCUGCACAGGGCUUGCGAAAUAAGGAUGGGGUGCUGGUGACUUCGGCCACUGGCAUUCUCGGAAUUGUUAAAGAUUAUUAUACUGUUCUCUUAAAGGGGCAAGAACUUUCCGGAUCUGAAAUGUCUUCUUUUCUAGGUGGAACCCCAGGAAUUGGAGAUGUGAGUGGUACCCUUGAUGAGCUGGACAGUGAGAUAAUGGUGGAUGAGGUCAGGAAGGCUGUUGAUAGUCUAAAUUUAAAGAAGACUCCAGGGUCUGACGGCUUAACAGCUGAAUUUUAUAAGGAGUUUGUAGACCUCUUGGCUCCCCAUCUCCUAGAGGUAUUCAAUUAUUCCCUGGGCGAGGGUCUACUCCCUCCCUCUAUGAGAUGCUCGGCCCUUAUCUUGCUGUCCAAGGGCCUGGAUCAGACUAAGGAUAAGAACUGGCGCCCCAUAGCCAUUCUCAAUACAUAUAGGAAGAUUUUGGCAAAGGUCAUGUUUAAUCACCUUUUUUUAUUUUUAAGAGAGGCUACUGUCCCCCUCGCAGCAUUGCACGGUUGAAGGCCGAAGCGGUUUUUCAGAAAACAUGUUUAAAGUGGAACUUGACUCCAAAGGGCCAACGGUGAAGCAGUGCCAGGUGGUUUCAGAAAUGUGCGGAAAAAACUGCUAUGACAGAUGGAGGAGGCAGUAGACAAAAUGCCACAUGGAUGUCGUUAUUGCACAUUACAAGCACGAAAAGCCCACCCUGAGCCAAGUCAAUGACUACCUUGGGCUACAAGGGUGGGUUAAGAAUGUUCCAAGCGUGGAGGAGAUCCUGCUGCACUGGGAGGCUAGGGAACAGCCAAGAAGAGAGGACAACGACGGAAAAAUUCAAAGUUUGAUCAAAACACAGCAGUGGCCAGGAUUAGCCAUUAUAGAUGACCCAGACAAAGGGCAAAAAGUGGUGACCCUCAAGGCUUUUCAAAAGGGUGACUAUAUUUGUGACUAUCAUGGCCAGGUUAUUUCUGCAAAGGAAGGGGAACAGCUAAUGAGGUCCGUGGAGCAGUGUGAAAUGGGCUACCCGUAUUUCUUCAUGGACAGAAAGAAUAAAAGAUGCUGCGUCGAUGCCCAGAAUGUUCCCUGCCACAGUGAACUAGCAACCACUUAUGGGAGGAAAAUUAACCAUUCCCGUAAAAGGCCAAACCUUAAACCCACAAUGAAGUAUUUUGCCAAUGACUCCAGGCCUCACAUACUGUUUUAAGCAAAGAAGAACAUCGAAGUGGGUACAGAAAUCUUGUUUGACUAUGGGGUCACAAGAAAAUCAUUUUCCGGGGAGGGGCAGAACUACCCUGGAUUGAGGAGUAGUUCCCCUACGAAUACACUUUUCUUACAGAUAUGGACUUGCAUUGAUGUAUGCUUCUAUGCUGCAAUCUUUAAAUCUUGAACUAUUUAAAUAAACUGUUUUUAUUUGUAUUGCACUGGAGUUAUACCCAAUAAAUUGUAUUUAUUCAGA